rnacentral:rRNA from 1 species
GGUUAAGUGACUAAGCGUACACGGUGGAUGCCUUGGCAGUCAGAGGCGAUGAAAGACGUAGUAACUUGCGAUAAGCCCAGAUUAGGUAGUAACAACCAUUUGAGUCUGGGAUUUCUGAAUGGGGAAACCCACGUGCAUAAGCACGUAUCCUUACCUGAAUACAUAGGGUAAGGAGGCGAACCGGGGGAACUGAAACAUCUAAGUACCCCGAGGAAAAGAAAUCAACCGAGAUUCCGAAAGUAGCGGCGAGCGAAAUUGGACUAGCCCUUAAGCUUUACACGCGUUAGACGAACGGUCUGGAAAGUCCGACGAUACAGGGUGAUAGUCCCGUAGUUGACGACGUGUGUUCAGUGAAAUCGAGUAGGGCGGGACACGUGAUAUCCUGUCUGAAUAUGGGGGGACCAUCCUCCAAGGCUAAAUACUACUGACUGACCGAUAGUGAACCAGUACCGUGAGGGAAAGGCGAAAAGAACCCCUGUGAGGGGAGUGAAAUAGAACCUGAAACCGUGUACGUACAAGCAGUAGGAGCAGGCUUUGUCCUGUGACUGCGUACCUUUUGUAUAAUGGGUCAGCGACUUAUAUUCAGUGGCAAGGUUAACCAUCUAGGGGAGCCGUAGGGAAACCGAGUCUUAACUGGGCGUUCAGUCUCUGGAUAUAGACCCGAAACCAGGUGAUCUAGCCAUGGGCAGGUUGAAGGUUGAGUAACAUCAACUGGAGGACCGAACCGACUAAUGUUGAAAAAUUAGCGGAUGACUUGUGGCUAGGGGUGAAAGGCCAAUCAAACCUGGAGAUAGCUGGUUCUCCCCGAAAGCUAUUUAGGUAGCGCCUCGGACGAAUACUACUGGGGGUAGAGCACUGUUAAGGCUAGGGGGUCAUCCCGACUUACCAACCCUUUGCAAACUCCGAAUACCAGUAAGUACUAUCCGGGAGACACACGGCGGGUGCUAACGUCCGUCGUGGAGAGGGAAACAACCCAGACCGCCAGCUAAGGUCCCAAAUUACUACUAAGUGGGAAACGAUGUGGGAAGGCUCAGACAGCCAGGAUGUUGGCUUAGAAGCAGCCAUCAUUUAAAGAAAGCGUAAUAGCUCACUGGUCGAGUCGGCCUGCGCGGAAGAUGUAACGGGGCUAAGUAGUAAACCGAAGCUGCGGCAAUGUGCUUUUGCACAUUGGGUAGGGGAGCGUUCUGUAAGCGGUUGAAGGUGUGUGGUAACGCAUGCUGGACGUAUCAGAAGUGCGAAUGCUGACAUGAGUAACGAUAAAGGGGGUGAAAAACCUCCUCGCCGGAAGACCAAGGGUUCCUGUCCAACGUUAAUCGGGGCAGGGUAAGUCGACCCCUAAGGCGAGGCCGAAAGGCGUAGUCGAUGGGAAACGGGUUAAUAUUCCCGUACUUCUUACAAUUGCGAUGGGGGGACGGAGAAGGCUAGGUGGGCCUGGCGACGGUUGUCCAGGUUCAAGUGCGUAGGCUUAAGAGUUAGGUAAAUCCGGCUCUUUCUAAGGCUGAGACACGACGUCGAGCACCUACGGGUGUGAAGUCAUUGAUGCCAUGCUUCCAGGAAAAGCCUCUAAGCUUCAGAUUGUAAGGAAUCGUACCCCAAACCGACACAGGUGGUCGGGUAGAGAAUACCAAGGCGCUUGAGAGAACUCGGGUGAAGGAACUAGGCAAAAUGGUACCGUAACUUCGGGAGAAGGUACGCUCUUGAUGGUGAAGUCCCUUGCGGAUGGAGCUGACGAGAGUCGCAGAUACCAGGUGGCUGCAACUGUUUAUUAAAAACACAGCACUGUGCAAAAUCGUAAGAUGACGUAUACGGUGUGACGCCUGCCCGGUGCCGGAAGGUUAAUUGAUGGGGUUAGACUUCGGUCGAAGCUCUUGAUCGAAGCCCCGGUAAACGGCGGCCGUAACUAUAACGGUCCUAAGGUAGCGAAAUUCCUUGUCGGGUAAGUUCCGACCUGCACGAAUGGCGUAAUGAUGGCCACGCUGUCUCCACCCGAGACUCAGUGAAAUUGAAAUCGCUGUGAAGAUGCAGUGUACCCGCGGCUAGACGGAAAGACCCCGUGAACCUUUACUACAGCUUGGCACUGAACAUUGACCCUACAUGUGUAGGAUAGGUGGGAGGCUUUGAAGCACGUACGCCAGUAUGUGUGGAGCCGUCCUUGAAAUACCACCCUUGUAGUGUUGAUGUUCUAACGUCGACCCCUAAUCGGGGUUGCGGACAGUGCCUGGUGGGUAGUUUGACUGGGGCGGUCUCCUCCCAAAGAGUAACGGAGGAGCACGAAGGUGGGCUAAUCACGGUUGGACAUCGUGAGGUUAGUGCAAUGGCAUAAGCCCGCUUGACUGCGAGAAUGACAAUUCGAGCAGGUGCGAAAGCAGGUCAUAGUGAUCCGGUGGUUCUGAAUGGAAGGGCCAUCGCUCAACGGAUAAAAGGUACUCCGGGGAUAACAGGCUGAUACCGCCCAAGAGUUCAUAUCGACGGCGGUGUUUGGCACCUCGAUGUCGGCUCAUCACAUCCUGGGGCUGAAGUCGGUCCCAAGGGUAUGGCUGUUCGCCAUUUAAAGUGGUACGCGAGCUGGGUUUAGAACGUCGUGAGACAGUUCGGUCCCUAUCUGCCGUGGGCGUUGGAAGAUUGAAGGGGGCUGCUCCUAGUACGAGAGGACCGGAGUGGACGAACCUCUGGUGUUCGGGUUGUGUCGCCAGACGCAUUGCCCGGUAGCUAAGUUCGGAAUCGAUAACCGCUGAAAGCAUCUAAGCGGGAAGCGAGCCCUGAGAUGAGUCUUCCCUGAUACUUUAAGUAUCCUAAAGGGUUGUCGGAGACUACGACGUUGAUAGGUCAGGUGUGUAAGUGCUGUGAGGCAUUGAGCUAACUGAUACUAAUUGCCCGUGAGGCUUAACCAU